rnacentral:sRNA from 1 species
GCUGGGUGCAGUGGCACACACCUUAAUCCCAGCUGCUCAGGAGGCUGAGACAGGAGGAUCGUGAGUUCAAAGCUGGCCUCAGCAAUGUCGAGGCACUUAGCAACUCAGUGAGACCCUGUCUCUA